rnacentral:rRNA from 1 species
AGUGAACGCUGGCGGUAGGCCUAACACAUGCAAGUCGAACGGCAGCACAGUAAGAGCUUGCUCUUACGGGUGGCGAGUGGCGGACGGGUGAGGAAUACAUCGGAAUCUACUUUUUCGUGGGGGAUAACGUAGGGAAACGUACGCUAAUACCGCAUACGACCUACGGGUGAAAGCAGGGGAUCUUCGGACCUUGCGCGAUUGAAUGAGCCGAUGUCGGAUUAGCUAGUUGGCGGGGUAAAGGCCCACCAAGGCGACGAUCCGUAGCUGGUCUGAGAGGAUGAUCAGCCACACUGGAACUGAGACACGGUCCAGACUCCUACGGGAGGCAGCAGUGGGGAAUAUUGGACAAGGGGCGCAAGCCUGAUCCAGCCAUACCGCGUGGGUGAAGAAGGCCUUCGGGUUGUAAAGCCCUUUUGUUGGGAAAGAAAAGCAGCAGGUUAAUACCCCGCUGUUCUGACGGUACCCAAAGAAUAAGCACCGGCUAACUUCGUG